CCACACGUACCCAUCCCGAACACGACCGUUAAGCCCUCCAGCGCCGAUGGUACUUGGACCGAAGGGUCCUGGGAGAGUAGGACGCCGCCAAGC
rnacentral:rRNA from 3 species